UACGUAGGGUGCAAGCGUUGUCCGGAAUUAUUGGGCGUAAAGAGCUCGUAGGCGGUUUGUCGCGUCGAAUGUGAAAACCCGGGCUCAACUCCGGGCCUGCAUUCGAUACGGGCAGACUAGAGUUCGGUAGGGGAGUCUGGAAUUCCUGGUGUAGCGGUGGAAAUGCGCAGAUAAUCAGGAGGAACACCGGUGGCGAAGGCGGGAACUCC
rnacentral:rRNA from 1 species